UUUUCCCUUUUUUAUGUAGAUCUAGUGUGAGUAAAAGGUGCCAGUUUGUCAGCGGUGAAAAUUGAAAUGUUUCGUUUAUCCACAUAAAGACAGCAAGAAUUCUGCAUUUCACCGUAUUAUUUCAUUUCUCAGGCCUAACCUACAGGAAUGUUUCGAUACUGUUGUCGUGAAAACAUGAGUCUUUUAAGUUAGUCAUACUGCUCGAAGGAACUGCAUAGUCUCUAGCUCAGGAAAAGAAGAAAAAAAAAAAGAAAAGAAAAGAGAAUCAUCAUUAACUUAAUGAAAUAUUCACAGACUCAGCACAAAGUUUAAAAGAAAAUAUAAAUAAAGGCAUGGAAGUAAAAAAGCAUAAAACUCAACGUAAAGUUACUGUAUACUAAAGGUGUUGUUGUGGACCUGCUGGAAGAACCAGAAGGUGGACUGUAUGAAGACAAAAGUGGCUAUAUCGGAUGUUUCCUUCUUCAAAAUGUAGAACUCACAUCUGUAAGAAAUGCACGUGGCUAAUGGACUGCUUAGAAAAAUAGGGCAUGCCCAGGGAACAGCUGCACUAAGCAAUGUGCUCCCCUAGAGAAAUGUGAAAUGUUACGGAGAAAAAGUAGUUCACAGCAAAUGCUGUUUCCUACUCUCUUGCACAGUCUGUGUCUCUCCGUCCUCCCCUUGCAAAGCUCACAGCGUUGCCCUGGUUAAGCACUGUCAGCAGGGCUGCCAGCUUGAUUGAGUUGGUAUGGAAAAGGAGCCAGAGAGAAAAAGAGCAGAGAAUGACCCUUCCAGCAUGGAGCUGGCAUCUGAAGAAUGACUUUCCCAUACCAUGUUGUCUCUCAUAUUUUAAUGGCCCUCAUCUUGGCCAAAAUGGUCCCUGUUCCUCUUCACUUUGAAAUAUGAAAUGAGAAUAGGGUAAUACUUCCUAUAACACUUGAGUAGUGGGGAAGCAAUUGGGUCUAUUUGUUCUCUUUUACAUAGGUGAAGAAUACAUUUGCCAUUAGAGUAUAGACAAAACCUCACUGGAGUUUUUAACAGUGAAAAGGAGGCUAAAUCUAAAUAAACUUCCUGGUUUCCUUGA